GUUGAUGUAGCUUAUUAA
rnacentral:tRNA from 1 species